rnacentral:rRNA from 1 species
UUGACCUCGGAUCAGGUAGGAAUACCCGCUGAACUUAAGCAUAUCAAUAAGCGGAGGAAAAGAAACCAACAGGGAUUGCCUUAGUAACGGCGAGUGAAGCGGCAACAGCUCAAAUUUGAAAUCUGGCCCCCAGGCCCGAGUUGUAAUUUGUAGAGGAUGCUUCUGGCGACGCGCCUUCCGAGUUCCCUGGAACGGGACGCCAAAGAGGGUGAGAGCCCCGUCCGGUCGUGCGCCUAGCCUCUGUGAAGCUCCUUCGACGAGUCGAGUAGUUUGGGAAUGCUGCUCUAAAUGGGAGGUAUACGUCUUCUAAAGCUAAAUAUUGGCCAGAGACCGAUAGCGCACAAGUAGAGUGAUCGAAAGAUGAAAAGCACUUUGAAAAGAGGGUUAAAUAGUACGUGAAAUUGCUGAAAGGGAAGCGCUUAUGACCAGACUUGGGCUUGGUGAAUCAUCCGGCGUUCUCGCCGGUGCACUUUGCCGGUCCAGGCCAGCAUCAGUUCGUCCCGGGGGAUAAAGGCUUCGGGAAUGUAGCUCCUUCGGGAGUGUUAUAGACC